CAGCAUGAACUUAGCUUGCUAAGUUUGAUGGCGACCGGCGCACGGGUGAGUAACACGUAUCCAACCUGCCGAUGACUCGGGGAUAGCCUUUCGAAAGAAAGAUUAAUACCUGAUAGUAUGGUGAGAUUGCAUGAUAGCACCAUUAAAGAUUUAUUGGUAAACGAUGGGGAUGCGUUCCAUUAGGUUGUUGGCGGGGUAACGGCCCACCAAGCCUUCGAUGGAUAGGGGUUCUGAGAGGAAGGUCCCCACAUUGGAACUGAGACACGGUCCAAACUCC
rnacentral:rRNA from 1 species